UAGACAGACACACGUGUGCAGCGGCUGCGAGUUUACUUUGCGCUCCCUUAUUCUCGAAAGAACUGUCGGUUGUUGUUUGACGGUUUCUCACGAAAAGGAAUCUCCUUAUGUUACACAUCAAGACCGAUCACUGGCCGAACUUACAGCAAAGACGCCAUGCUUUUGGAAAACCGUCGUAAUUCGUCAGUCCUCUGAAGGUUUCAAAGCCAGUUCCCUGGCCGCAGCCUGGGCCUGCAUGAGGAGUUCAGCCUGGUGGAGGUGCUGAAGGCCGUCAUGAUGCAGCAUGGACUUGGGCCGUAAGAUGAGCGAGUUGGAGAAAAAGCUGAAGUGCCUGCAGAUGCAGCGCAAACUUGUACAAGUAGAGCAAGGUGGCAAAAACGAAGACGAAAAUCCACAAACUGAGCACCAUCAAACCAUCGGAAUUGUGAGGAUCUGACCAGCCCCGAGGUGGACCGUGUCAUCGUCCAGCGACUGAGGGUUGAUGAAGUCAUUGACGUCCCUUACGGCAAGCUGAUGACCUGUUGAUCAUCAAGGGAAUGCGAGACACUUUUCUCUCAUGAGUCCGUCGCAAGCCUCUCCCCAGCAGGGCGCACUAAAUCCUCCAACGUCUCCUGAGUCGUUUCGUCCAAGACACCCAACUAGACACCAAAACGGCCCCGCUGAUAGCGAUCCAUGAUGUCCAAUGCAUCAAUGAUGACUCCAGUGCUUACUUACGCUUCUUCGGCGGCUACUCUUUGUUCUAGGCAUGGGAGAGCUCGGGAAGGGGGCGGAGUUUGAGGCUCUGGAAGGGAGGGAGAUCUUGAACAGUCUGCUGUGUAUCGACGUCAAGCUUGAUGGGCUGGAGUCUAGCAACAUGGAACCAUUGCUGUGCCAGUUGCUGGAAAGGGCAAACAUGCCCAGAGAACUCAACAAAUUGAUGAGAAUGAGGUUGAUCACAUUGUCAACAAGGAGUGUGAAAAACUGGACAAGAGACUUGGAGAGGGGCCAAGGUGAGCUUGCCGACACCCAAGAUUUGCAGAGGGCAGAACUGGACUUGGCUGUUUUGGGCAGAGAUGUAACCAGAUCAGUCACGUUGAAUAGAUUUGAGACUGAAUGACUCUUAGUUAACUUGUGAUGACUUGUGACUGAUUUUGUAAACAGUUCGGCUUAAGGCUCGACUAGGUAGUCUUGUAUUUUCCAGUUAAACAUUUAUUUGCGGUAAUUUUUCUUGGUCAUAUGCGAGACCUGUCGAUGCAAACUUGCAAUUUACACAUUCAUUUUGAAACAAUACACCCAAGAAGUCUGACAUCAUGCAAGUCGUCUAAGUGGUAAGUCUAAACAAUGUCUUGUUCGCCACUUUUACCUUCGGAUUUGCACAGGCAUAAGUUGAACAUGUUUUGAUAAAAAGUAAAUGGUAAGCCCUUAUCGUAUUGAAUUUGUGAUAAAAACUUAACUUUCCCCAUUUUUAUAAAAAUGCAAGGCUAACCCUUACCGUAUUGAAAUUUUGAUGAAAAUUUACGUUCGUGCUAUUUUUUGAUAAAAACUACCAUAAAAACUAAGUUUGUUUUUGCCCCUUUUUGAUAAAAAUGCGAGGCUAAUCCUUUACAGUUUUGAAUAUCUGAUGAAAAGUUAACUUUUGACCAGUUUAUGAUAAAAAUUCAAGGCUAACCACGAACCGGUUCGAAUAUGUGAUAAAUAAUUCUUUUUGUCCCUUUUUGAUAAAAAUGAAAGGCUAAUCCACUACCGCUUUGAAUUUGUGAUAAAAAAAUUUUUGCCCUGUUUUGAAAA